CCUUGGCAAACUAUUUGCUGACACCAUCCACUUGGGCUUGGCUGACUAGCCUCCCCAAGUACACCAUCAUCAACAGUUGGGCCGAGCUGAAGGCCCAGUU
rnacentral:snoRNA from 1 species